rnacentral:pre_miRNA from 1 species
AGUAGAAUUGCUGGAUCACACUGUGUUUUAUGUUUAAAUUUUAGAGAAACUCUCAAACUGUUUUCCAAAGUGGUUGCACUAUGUUAUAUUCCCAUCAACAAU